GACAUUUUGACAUUUUGACAUUUUGACAUUUUGACAUUUUGACAUUUUGACAUUUUGACAUUUUGACAUUUUGACAUUUUGACAUUUUGACAUUUUGACAUUUUGACAUUUUGACAUUUGACAUUUUGACAUUUUGACAUUUUGACAUUUUGACAUUUUGACAUUUUGACAUUUUGACAUUUUGACAUUUUGACAUUUUGACAUUUUGACAUUUUGACAUUUUGACAUUUUGACAUUUUGACAUUUUGACAUUUUUACAUUUUGACAUUUUGACAUUUUGACAUUUUGACAUUUUGACAUUUUGACAUUUUGACAUUUUGACAUUUUGACAUUUUGACAUUUUGACAUUUUGACAUUUUGACAUUUUGACAUUUUGACAUUUUGACAUUUUGACAUUUUGACAUUUUGACAUUUUGACAUUUUGACAUUUUGACAUUUUGACAUUUUGACAUUUUGACAUUUUGACAUUUUGACAUUUUGACAUUUUGACAAUUUGAAAAUUUGACAAAUAAAACAGUGCUUUUUAAAACGUUAAAGAUAAAUGUUAGCUUAAAUUACAAGGAAUAUAAAAUCUAGAGUAAAUGUAGAAAACAAUCUAUGAGUCAUGGGUUUUCUACGCAGAUAGGACCAGAAAUUAUAUAUGGCAAAUCGUAUUUUAGUUUGAUUGUAAAAUUAUGAUAUGUGAAAUGAUGUUCUACAAAAAAAUCGGAGAUCUUCCUCAUCCAUAAAAAAGUUUCUGUUGUUUUUUUAUUAUAGUGUAAUUUGUAUUAAAAUUUUUCAAUUGGUUUUAUAAAACAAUAAAUACCAAAAAUAUAAAAAGAAAUUGAAAUCCUAACAAUAAAACAUAUCUACGUAGUUCAGGAGGUGACCCAUAUCUAAAUAUGGGUGUCGUGGUUUACGUACUGCCCCUUGUCAAAACUUCUCAGAACUCACUAACACUCUCACACGCUCACAGCAGCCGUCGCCAUCACUGACGGCCCGUCAUUUCAGUCGUUGUCCAGUUUUGCUUUUGUGAAUUUUUGAGGCGGUCUUGUGACGACAAAAAUCGAAAAUUUGGGGGGAAAUUUUGUAAAACUCGGUUAAAGAACCAACCAGGUUGCCGGUUCAUUUGCAGUUCCAGAAAAUCUUUUUGGAUUCGGUUCGUGUCGGAACGUGAUGUCGAGCAAUUAUGGGGUAGGCCAUGACGAUGUGGCAAUUUUUGAUCCAAAACGAUUUUCCGGUGAGCAGAAGUCAGAACCGCAGCAGCAACGGGCGAAGAUCAAUCGCAGGCAUGAUCGGAAAAGUGCAUUGCACCGAUUCGAGAAUGAGUGGAAAAAUGAAGUUGUGAAGUUUUAAUUAGAGUUUUAUGAAUAAAAAUGUCAAAAACUAAAAUCAACUGUUUUUCUGGAAAAAAAAGAAUAAGAACAAGAAGUAUAUUUUCAUGGUACACAC